GUCCCCUAACAUCUUCUGGCUAUUGCAAUCGCCCUUGCCAAUGAAUACUUGGAAGAGUCUUGAGUGAAGGUUAUGACCACUGAAUCUGUCCACUGGGUCUCCUCUUUGACCCCUGCUUUGCAUGGAUCCCUCUUCAGCACAACUCAUCUCUUGGCAGUCCCCUCAACCGGAUUGCAUCAAAGUAUAUCUCAAUGGCCCUGUUCAUCAACGACUCUAAGUCAAUAACCUCAUGAACAGAGCAAAGGAUGCCAACCGGCUGGUCUGACUUGGUAGAGUCUCUUAUGCUUGUAGAAGAGACCUGGAUUCAGGCCCCUUCCUCACUCAUAAUCAGCCUGGAUUCUACCU
rnacentral:lncRNA from 1 species